UACAGAGGUCCCAAGCGUUGUUCGGAUUCACUGGGCGUAAAGGGUGCGUAGGUGGCUUUGCAAGUCUGAUGUGAAAGCUCGGAGCUCAACUCCGAAAUGGCAUUGGAUACUGCGAGGCUUGAGGUUCGGAGGGGAGACUGGAAUUCUUGGUGUAGCAGUGAAAUGCGUAGAUAUCAAGAGGAACACCGGUGGCGAAGGCGAGUCUCUGGACGAAAUCUGACACUGAGGCACGAAAGCUAGGGGAGCAAACAGG
rnacentral:rRNA from 1 species